rnacentral:rRNA from 1 species
UAGGGAAUUUUCCACAAUGGGCGAAAGCCUGAUGGAGCAACGCCGCGUGCAGGAUGAAGGCCUUCGGGUUGUAAACUGCUUUUAUCUGUGACGAAUAUGACGGUAGCAGAUGAAUAAGGAUCGGCUAACUCCGUG